GUGAACUCAGGUAUGCAGAGAUGGACUGAAACUCGCUCCUUUUUCGCCAUCAAAGGUAAUCGCAUUUGAUGAGGACGACUAACUGCUAUAAUAAUCAGCCAUAGGCGAUACGCUCUGAUAAAACCGGACCUGCACUUCAGCUGUGUUUAAUAACUGAUAGUUUAGUUAGACAAAACUUAAAGGGAAAUUCAAACGAACUGGAAGGCAAAGGAAAAUUGAAAUCACGGAAGCUGAUGUAACCUUAUCGUUUUCUGUCUAUUCAGUAAUAUUGAAGGAAUAUUUAUUAAAGAAGAGU